AUUGAACGCUGGCGGCAGGCCUAACACAUGCAAGUCGAACGAAGUGGCGAACGGGUGAGUAAUACGUGAGUAACCUGCCCUCCUUUUUGGGAUAAGCCUUGGAAACGGGGUCUAAUACCGGAUAAAGGGGGAUGGGCUCGCGGCCUAUCAGCUUGUUGGUGGGGUGAUGGCCUACCAAGGCGGUGACGGGUAGCCGGCCUGAGAGGGUGACCGGCGACAGUGGGACUGAUCUACGGCCCAGACUCGUACGGGGUGCAGCAGUGGGGGAUAUUGCACAAUGGGCGAAAGCCUGAUGCCGCGAGGGCACGUGGGGGAUGAAGGCUUUCAGGUUGUAAACCUCUUUCGCUAUAGAACGGGUAGGUGGAGAAGAAGCGCCGGCUAACUACGUGCCAGCAGCCGCGGUAAUUC
rnacentral:rRNA from 1 species